AGAGUUUGAUCCUGGCUCAGAACGAACGCUGGCGGCGCGUUUUAAGCAUGCAAGUCGAACGGUACGGCAGUCUUCGGACUGCCCGAGAGUGGCGAACGGGUGAGUAACACGUAGGUAAUCUACCGUAAAGUUGGGGAUAGCCUGUGGAAACACGGGGUAAUACCGAAUAAUACCUGAGGGGGAAAGGUGCUACGGCCCCGCUUUACGAUGAGCCUGCGGUCCAUUAGCUAGGUGGUGGGGUAAAGGCCUACCAAGGCGACGAUGGAUAGCCGGCCUGAGAGGGUGACCGGCCACACUGGGACUGAGACACGGCCCAGACUCCUACGGGAGGCAGCAGCUAAGAAUCUUCCGCAAUGGUCGAAAGGCUGACGGAGCGACGCCGCGUGGACGAUGAAGGCCGGAAGGUUGUAAAGUCCUUUUGCAGAUGAAGAAUAAGGUGAGGAGGGAAUGCCUCAUCGAUGACGUUAAUCUGCGAAUAAGCCCCGGCUAAUUACGCGCCAGCAGCCGCGGUAACACGUAAGGGGCAAGCGUUGUUCGGAAUUAUUGGGCGUAAAGGGCGUGUAGGCGGCUUUACAAGCCUGGUGUGAAAGGCCACCGCUUAACGGUGGGAGUGCGCUGGGAACUGUAUGGCUAGAGUUCACGAGGGGAAGCUGGAAUUCCUGGUGUAGGGGUGAAAUCUGUAGAUAUCAGGAAGAACACCGGUG
rnacentral:rRNA from 1 species